rnacentral:rRNA from 1 species
UACGUAGGGUGUGAGCGUUAAUCGGAAUUACUGGGCGUGAAGCGUGCGCAGGCGGUUUGUUAAGACAGAUGUGAAAUCCCCGGGCUUAACCUGGGAACUGCAUUUGUGACUGGCAAGCUAGAGUAUGGCAGAGGGGGGUAGAAUUCCACGUGUAGCAGUGAAAUGCGUAGAGAUGUGGAGGAAUACCGAUGGCGAAGGCAGCCCCCUGGGCCAAUACUGACGCUCAUGCACGAAAGCGUGGGGAGCAAACAGG